CGGUACGCCCUGGGGUUAGUUUAAUAUCUUAGUUUGGAACUGCCGAAUUGCUCCUUAUAUCGUUAUAGUUUAUCUGUUGAAGUAUACUACUUGGUAACGUAGUAAUUCUAAGCCUAAAUAAUGAGAAAGGCUCUGGUGAGGUGUGUAUAUUAAAGAAAAAACCAUAUGCUUCCCCUUGAUAGGAGGUAAUAGUAACCUAUCGUAUCGCAGGCUUAAUGCGAGAUGAGUCUUAGUGUUUCUGCCCUAUCAGUUUGCGGGGGGAGUAUUUGACCCCCCCGGGGGAGUCAGGGUUAAAAAAAAAAU
rnacentral:rRNA from 1 species